rnacentral:rRNA from 1 species
UACGGAGGGCGCGAGCGUUGUUCGGAAUUACUGGGCGUAAAGCGCGUGUAGGCGGCCUGACAAGUCGAAUGUGAAAUCCCGGAGCUCAACUCCGGAACUGCAUACGAUACUGUUAGGCUCGAGUCUCGGAGAGGACGGCGGAAUUUCCGGUGUAGAGGUGAAAUUCGUAGAUAUCGGAAGGAACACCAGUGGCGAAGGCGGCCGUCUGGACGAUGACUGACGCUGAGACGCGAAAGCGUGGGGAGCAAAC